rfam:Stylonychia lemnae strain 130c genome assembly, contig: Contig12893
GUCCGUGUCGUAUAGUGGUUAGUACCCUUCGUUGUGGCCGAAGAAACCUGGGCUCGAAUCCCAGCACGGACA